rnacentral:rRNA from 1 species
CAGUCGCCGCGGUAAUACGGAGGGAGCUAGCGUUGUUCGGAAUCACUGGGCGUAAAGCGCACGUAGGCGGCUAUUCAAGUCAGGGGUGAAAGCCCGGGGCUCAACCCCGGAACCGCCUUUGAAACUAGAUAGCUUGAAUCUUGGAGAGGCGAGUGGAAUUCCGAGUGUAGAGGUGAAAUUCGUAGAUAUUCGGAAGAACACCAGUGGCGAAGGCGACUCGCUGGACAAGUAUUGACGCUGAGGUGCGAAAGCGUGGGGAGCAAACAGGAUUAGAUACCCGUGUAGUCCCUGUCUCUUAUAC